CCUACGGGAGGCAGCAGUCGGGAAUAUUGCGCAAUGGAGGAAACUCUGACGCAGUGAAGCCGCGUGCAGGAAGAAGGUCUUCGGAUUGUAAACUGCCUUAGACAGGGAAGAAACAAGACAGUACCUGUAGAAUAAGCUCCGGCUAACUACGUGCCAGCAGCCGCGGGACUACGUAGGGAGCAAGCGUUAUACGGAUUUUUUGGGUGUAAAGGGUGCGUAGGCGGGGAAGCAAGUUAGUUGUGAAAUCCCUCGGCUUAACUGAGGAACUGCAACUAAAACUACUUCCCUUGAGUACUGGAGAGGAAAGUGGAAUUCGUGGUGUAGCGGUGAAAUGCGUAGAUAUUAGGAGGAACACCAGUGGCGAAGGCGACUUUCUGGACAGUAACUGACGUUGAGGCACGAAAGUGUGGGGAGCAAACAGGAUUAGAUACCCGUGUAGUC
rnacentral:rRNA from 1 species